rnacentral:lncRNA from 1 species
GUUUAUGAUCUCUAUUCUAUUUGUCAAAAAAUUUAUAUUUUUAGACUGGAGGAAAACAUCGUGUCCAGUCUUUAUUUUUUGGGAAUCAUUAAUUUUCAUUUUUAAAGAACAAAGCAGUCCACAGUCAUUCAAAUUAACAAAUUUUCAUUCUCAACAAUUUGAUUUAUUGCUUUAGUGGAAACAAUGAUAUUAAUGCAAUCAAGAAUACUUCAAGCUAGUUCAAGAAAUGGUUUCAUAAUUCUGUAGAUUUUAAUUUUGUUUUUCUAAUUUUCUUUACAAUAUUAAAAUGUUAUAAAUAGCAAUAAAAAAAUUAUGUUUUUUUCUGUUAAAAAAGAAGUAUUUUCAAGUUAAUUAUGGCAUUCUGUUUUUAUUAUGAAAUGGUUAUCAUUAGAAAUAAAUGGCAAACUGUAAAUAUAAAAGAGGUAAAUCUAUUACAAUGCAGGAUGUGUAAACACACAUCUACUGUUUUUACAGUUGUCUUAUAUCAGUGCUAUUGACUGUGACCAAACUGAAAUAUUUUUAGGACAUUCUUCUUAAUACAUGGCAUACUUUUGAAAAAGCAUUACCCUUUAUAUGUUUGUUUCAGAUGCAUUAUUUAGAGCAAAAUUAGUUUAUGUAUCAAAAUAUAACCCGAAUAAAUAAAUCAUAAAGGAUUUGAAGUAAAUAGAACACUCAAAGCAUAUAUAUAUAUAUAUGACUGAAAAAAUGAAAAAUAUCAUCAUAUAACUUCUAAAUAACAUCUAUGAAAGAGAACUUCUACAAACUUUUGGUCUUUGGUGGCAUAUAUAUACAAAAAUUCAAAUAACACAAAACCACAAGCAGAUUUUAUUAGCUUAAAUCUCAAAUGAUUGCAUUAACUUCAGAUGGUUAUAUCAAUAAUACCAUCAAACUAAAGCAACCAUUUUUUUUUUAACAUAUCUGUUUUACCAGCAUCCUGCAUUAUGAUAGAUUCUCUUCUUUUACUCAAUAUUUAAUUUGCAGCUAUAAAUGUUUGUAAUAAUAAAUCUGUAUUAAAAUGUACCUUAAACAUGCUGAAACUUGUUUUAGCAUGGCUACACAAUGCAGGGUAAGAUUAAAAUUAUUACACAUAAAUAAUUUCAGGUGAAGAAUUGGUAUGUUAAAUGCACAUUUAUGUUAAUUUUUUCUAAGCCAAGUUAUGACAGAGUUAUAGUGCGUUAUUUAUUUGAUGAAUUUAAGAAAAACUAGCUGUAAAUUUCCUGAUGAUUUUUUCAGGCUUAUUAUAUUUAGGAAAUUAAGAUAAAUAUGUGCAACUGAAAAUGUUUAAAAGCCUGGCAGGACCAAUAUAAAUGAAAAUUAAAUGCAUUUUCAUAAGUGUAUCAGAAAAUAAAAAAAAAAAUUUGAUUUGAAUGGACAUUUGGCAAGUGGCAGUAAUGAAUCUUAACUUUUAGGUUAAAAAAUGAUUUUCAGAAAUUUGGUUAAAAAAAUAAGUGCAGUUUCAUAAAUCUCUAAAAGAUAAUUACCUACUUUGACCUACUGUGCAAGACCCUAAUGGGUAGUCAAUGUUGUUGAAAAAAAAAUUGCCAAGCAACUUUGAAUAAAGAAAAGGGUGGAAUAUUAAAUAUAUUAGAGUCUUCAGUCAAAAAGGAUUAAUAGGGGCCUAUGAACACUCUUGUCAUUACUCAGCUAGUACACAUAUGAUAUUAUUAUAAUCCGAUCAAUAGAUUUAAUGUUAUAAAUUGAUCUCCUUUAAACAAUAUUAUAGUGCCUACCAUCCAAACAAACUGAUCUAUUUUUUCAAGGUUACUUCUAGUAACAUGCUAUCUUUAGUAGUUGAAUAAAAAUAUGUUUAGAA